rnacentral:rRNA from 1 species
UCUCCUGGAAAACGGGUGGUAAUGCCGGAUGCUCCGACUCCUCGCAUGGGGUGUCGGGAAAGAUUUCAUCGGUAUGGGAUGGGGUCGCGUCCUAUCAGGUAGUCGGCGGGGUAACGGCCCACCGAGCCUACGACGGGUAGCCGGCCUGAGAGGGCGACCGGCCACAUUGGGACUGAGAUACGGCCCAGACUCCUACGGGAGGCAGCAGUGGGGAAUAUUGCACAAUGGGCGCAAGCCUGAUGCAGCGACGCCGCGUGCGGGAUGACGGCCUUCGGGUUGUAAACCGCUUUUGAUCGGGAGCAAGCCUUCGGGUGAGUGUACCUUUCGAAUAAGCACCGGCUAACUACGUGCCAGCAGCCGCGGUAAUACGUAGGGUGCAAGCGUUAUCCGGAAUUAUUGGGCGUAAAGGGCUCGUAGGCGGUUCGUCGCGUCCGGUGUGAAAGUCCAUCGCUUAACGGUGGAUCUGCGCCGGGUACGGGCGGGCUGGAGUGCGGUAGGGGAGACUGGAAUUCCCGGUGUAACGGUGGAAUGUGUAGAUAUCGAAAAAAAAACACCA